rnacentral:rRNA from 1 species
AGUUUGAUCCUGGCUCAGGAUGAACGCUAGCGGCAGGCUUAACACAUGCAAGUCGAGGGGCAGCGCGUUGUAGCAAUACGAUGGCGGCGACCGGCGAAAGGGUGCGUAACGCGUGAGCAACCUGCCCGUAUCCGGGACAUAAGCGGUGGAAACGCCGUCUAAUUUCCCAUAACAACGAGGGCCGCAUGGUCCAUGUUUGAAAGAUGCGUCGGAUACGGAUGGGCUCGCGAGACAUUAGCUAGUCGGCGUGGUAACGGCACACCGAGGCGACGAUGUCUAGGGGUUCUGAGAGGAAGGUCCCCCACACUGGAACUGAGACACGGUCCAGACUCCUACGGGAGGCAGCAGUGAGGAAUAUUGGUCAAUGGGGGCAACCCUGAACCAGCCAAGUAGCGUGGAGGAUGACGGCCCUACGGGUUGUAAACUCCUUUUAUGCGGGGGUAAGGUGCGCCACGGGUGGUGUAUUGCAAGUACCGCAUGAAUAAGCAUCGGCUAACUCCGUGCC